rnacentral:tRNA from 1 species
GAGGGUACAGCUCAGUGGUAGAGUGCAUGCUUAGCAUGCACAAGGUCCUGGGUUCCAUCCCCAGUCCCUCU